GUUUCUUGGGCACAAUGAGGAAGUGGUGCACCUCUUAUCACAGGAAGUCGAUGCUUUAUCACUUCACUUAAGACACAUCAGCUCAGAGACUAUGACAGCUGAUACCUGAGAAGGGACUGUAAAAGGACUCCACCACCAUGGUUAAAUUCAGAUGGAUUCAAAUGUCUUUGUUUCUGAUCUUGCACAGAGCAGGUAGCAGAAACAUUUACAAAACAAACGUCUGUUGAAACCAGAAUUAUCCUCACACUAAAUCUUGAUUUAAAAGGUACUUUCUCUUACUUUUGUCUUGCUGUUUUUACAGCAAUUGCGACACAAUUUUAUGACCUUCAUGUCAAAAAUGGAAAAGAGGCCGUGAUGCAUUGCGGAGAUGUAAUAGACCAUCAGGGCAAAUGUGACGGUGUCCUCUGGCUAUUCCGUCGCCAAUUUCUUCUGGGAAAAGAUCAGCAGCUCAACCGUGGGCGGAUUAUUAAGAACCCUGAGGAUAAAUCGUACAGACUGAGUGUUACAGAGGACUGUUCUCUGGUUAUAAAGAAGGUCACAUUUGACGACACUGGUUUCUACACCUGCUUAAAACCAGGACAAGAUGAAGAAUAUCUAGUUGAACUGAUUGUUUUCACCACAGGAAUCAUCUUUCCAGGGUCUGGAACCGAUGCUCCAUCAAAUUUACAAGGAGUCACAGCAGGGAGAAACGAGACAGCAACAGAACAAGGAGGCACAGCAGGGAGAAACGAGACAGCGACAGAACAAGCUCGUACAGAUUGUUCUGUUGUCGACUACAUCAUGUUGGUUCUGCGUGUGGCUGAACUCGUCCUAAUUACUGUGAUUACUGUUCUUCUCAUCAGAGCUCCAGGGAACCAGAGACCAGUGAGGCGUUCAGGUCCAGCAGCCAGCCAGACGGAUCGUGAUGAAGAUGAUGGUGUGGUGAAAUAUGAAAACUGUGGAGACACUUCUGCCUCUGUCAGACUCCGCUGAAGAAUUCAGAGCUGAUUUGAAGAUUUCCUGUUUGUUGUUGAAGCUGCAGCAGCUUGAGCUCAGUUUCAUGUCUCUGUGUGCAGAAGAACUCAUUUUAGGGAGAGCUGUGUGUUCUGUAAUGCGCCUGAGUCUGUACAUCAUGUGUUUGUUGAAUUUCACCGUUUGUUGUCUUCUCUCUCCUCUCUGCUGUCUGUGGGAAGAUAGGAGUGUUUCUCUGAGGGGAUUUGCAUACUGGGGUCCAGUUAUUCAUAACAUCUUUUUAAGAGUUUUAAGAGUGAACGUAUUUGUUUUUUUAAUCAUGAAUAUGACAAAUGUAUUUUCUGUGCCGAGCUCUUUGUGUUUCAGUCUGAGCUGGACUAACAGGCUGGAGUCAAACUGGUGGACGAGCAGUUUGACUUUUCAGCUGUCUGUUUAUGUGUGCUGUAAACAUCAUGAGUCCUGAC
ensembl:lncRNA